AGUGAACGCUGGCGGCAUGCCUAACACAUGCAAGUCGAACGGACACACGGUGAGAGUUCUCCCCUAACGGUGGCGGGGGGCGGAUGGGUAAGACAUGGAUCCCCUCCUUAUAUGUCUGGGAUAACAACGGGAAACAACAUCCAAUACCACCUAAUAUAGUGAACGGGUGAGCGCAAGGGUUCUUGACAGUUUUGCGGUCACUAUUAGCUGGAUUGGUGUCGGAUUAGCUAGUUGGUAAGGUAACGGCUCACCAAGGCAACGAUCCGUAGCUGACCUGAGAGGAUGAUCAGCCACACUGGAACUGAGACACGGUCCAGACUCCUACGGGAGGCAGCAGUGGGGAAUCUUGGACAAUGGGCGCAAGCCUGAUCCAGCAAUGCCGCGUGAGUGAAGAAGGCCUUCGGAUUGUAAAGCUCUUUUGUUAGGAAAGAAAAGCUGCGGGAGAAUCCCCGGACGUCCUGACGGUACCUAAAGAAUAAGCACCGGCUAACUACGUG
rnacentral:rRNA from 1 species